ACUUUUAAAGGAUAACAGCAAUCCGCUGGCCUUAGGAGCCACACCCCCUUGGUGCAACUCCAAGUGAAAGUA
rnacentral:tRNA from 1 species